AUGCGUGGGAUCAGGGAAACACAUACAUCAGGCUUCCCGCCCAGGACAGGAGGAAGGCACUGGAGAGGGAGCCCGUGCCCAGACCCCAUCUGGAGCAGAAGCGGUGGCAAACAGAUCCACUUGGAGAGAUCCCCACCUCUGGAAGAUCAUGCCGGCUACCUCUGGGUGGAGCGCCCACUCGUGGUGAGAGAAGUCCCUGCUUAGGUGAUCCGCUAACACGUUCUGACCCCCAGGAGGUGACACGCUUCUAGAUGGAUUCCGUGGUCAAUGCAGAAGCCCCAAAGACAGAGUGCCUUUUGGCAUAGGGCCGAAGAUUGAGCUACCCUGUCUGUUGAUAUAGAACACUGAGGCUGUGUUGUCCGUCAAGACUCUGACCACUCUGCCUGACAGGACCACAUACCCUGCGUCUGGAGAUUGCCAAGGUGCGCCCCCAACUGAGAUCCGAGGAAUCCGAGACCAACUCGACUGAGGGGGGAGUGCUGUUGAAGGGGACUCCUUCCAGGACAUCCCCUGGGCCAGAUCACCAUCAGAGUGAGACCAAGGUGACGGCAUGUGGCCAGCAGCACUGCGAUGUCCCCUUGGACCUGGAAUUGCCCUGGACGAGCCAGUCGUUGAGGUACGGGUAGAUCUGGAUACUGCAACGUCUGACGUCCUGAGACUGCAAAACUCUGGUGCCUGUAAGGCUACUGCGAAUGGAACUGUUUCCUCUUUGUCACUGGAGUAUAGAUUUUGAAAGAUUUUAGUAUUGUCCUCGUAUCUUUUAGAUUUUGGAGCCUAUCAUCCAUUUUAUUCAAAAACAAAGAGGGACAUUCAAAAGGGGGGUCCUGGAUGAUCUGCUGGACUUCUUUGGGGAGCCCAGACCACUGUAACCACAAACAUCUUCUCAUGGUAAUAGCUGAUGCCAUAGU